rnacentral:rRNA from 1 species
ACGGCCAUACCAGCUAAAUAUACCGGUUCUCGUUAGAUCACCGAAGUCAAGCAUCAUUGGGCGCGGUCAAGCGCAUUGGGUGGGUGACCACCUGGGAACACCGCGUGCCGUU